UUAAACUAUAAAACCAAAUUUAUUAAAAAUAAACAAAAUUAAAAGAAAGAGAGAAAGAGAGAGCGAGAGACUUUCGAUUUGUAUUGACGUCAGGGGGAGAUGCUAAACUUCAAAGUUUGCUAUAAAAGUGCGGGUGUACCACUUUUUCCCGGGAAGGCACUGGCUGUCAAGUAUCUACGAUUUACCCGGCGAUAUAAGCUUACCGAGUUCGGAGGCUCUUUUAAGGCAUUAUCGGUUACAAGUUGAAGAUGUGGGCGUUAUUUCCAUGAGGGAAAGCUGACAAUAUGGAUAUUAUUCAAUUGAAAGCUAACGUGUCGAUAAAAACUGAAGGAAAUGAAAGCGUAUAUUAUAAAGUAGAUGGUCAGCGUUUUGGAGCCGACUGUACUCUGAAAUUAGUUGUUGAUACUAAUUAUGUUUUUAUUUUUGACUUUCAACCUGCCGUAUACAUAAGGCUUUGAGCAGACCACGUUAUAUUGAAUCAACGUUAAGCAAAGCAGCAGCGUUAAGCGUGGUCUUACUGUAUAUAUGUAAGUAAAAUAAAAUACUUAUUAAAAUGUUUGACAAUGUUUAUUACUUAAAGUAGAUUAAAUUAAAUGUCUAGAGAAAGAUGAUCAUGAAUGAAAGUGUCCAAAAAUAAAAAAAAAAUAAUUA